GGCUUCGUUCUCCCGUUCCCGAUCGCUUCGUUCUCCCGUUCCCGAUCGCAGGUAGCAUUUGCUGCUCUUCUCCAGUUGACCUACACAUAUUCAGAUAUUAUCAUGGCAGAGCAGCAGGCUGUGGCACCCCGUGGCCACAAAGUCCUUACCGUUGUCGGGGACUCGUUCACUCCGGAUGGGCACAGAGUUGCCACAUAUAUCACUGCAAAAUUUAAGGAACGAGUUAGCGCGUCUGGUACUACA